rnacentral:lncRNA from 1 species
CCUUGAUUGCUAAAGUUUGCUAUCAGUGCAGAGCGUGUAGCUGAUAUUGUGUAUCAUCAAACUCGUUUCUUUAUCUUCAAAAGUAACACCUAAACUUGUUAUGAAUAAACAUAAACAGGGUGCCUGUUCCUCGUUUAUUAAAUAUAAGCUGUAAUAGAGAGAGUGAGCACAUACUUCGUAGCUGAGAAGCAAUGAUAAAUUUGUUCUCAGCCCAAGAAGAAACAUCUACUGAAUUUGGGGCAGAUGGAAGAAUAUGUGGCCUGAGCUCAAGAGUGACCAUAGUUUGAAACGAGAAGAUAUGCACAGAACUCCAUGAAGUCUUACAGCAAUGACACAACACUCAUUUUUUGUCUGCAUUAUCUGGUGGUCUUUCCUUCAGGAUAUAAGAAACACUGAAUGGUUAUGGUCCUUCAACCAGUUGACUUCCUCUCACUUCGACUUUACAAGAAGUUAUGACUCUGAGAGUGAGGGGCCUUAUGACAGUCCAAACUCCCAUUCCUCAGACCUGUUGCUCAGCCCAUCCAGUGAUGACAUGUCCCUGGCAGUUCAAGCUUUUUCUCAUGUCACUGCAUUCCUCAAGGGAACUCUUCAAUGAUUCUUUUUUUUCUCCCCUUCUUUUCUGUGGUGAUGAGCUCUGGCUUUGGAUAAGAAGGCUGUUUUUGCUGUCAGUGGGCACAGGUAUGCCACAGGCCUACCUUCACAGCAUACCUUGGCCAUUGGCCACUGAGAUGACAGAAUUUCUCAUCAUCCCCAAGGACUUCUCUUGCAUCUGGAUAUGCAUCUCUCCUCCUGAAGCUGGAUCUAAAGCACAGUGCCAGAAUCACUCUGAUGUUGUCUUCACCAUAACUAUAGCAUAAGAGUAGUCAAUUUACUGCAAUCCUGCACACCACUUAAAUAAAUUUCAGAGGGGAUAAUUCCUUUUAAAUAGA